rnacentral:rRNA from 1 species
CUUUGGGGUGUGACUGCGUACCUUUUGUAUAAUGGGUCAGCGACUUAUAUUCUGUAGCAAGGUUAACCGUAUAGGGGAGCCGGAGGGAAACCGAGUCUUAAUUGGGCGUUAAGUUGCAGGGUAUAGACCCGAAACCCGGUGAUCUAGCCAUGGGCAGGUUGAAGGUUGGGUAACACUAACUGGAGGACCGAACCGACUAAUGUUGAAAAAUUAGCGGAUGACCUGUGGCUGGGGGUGAAAGGCCAAUCAAACCGGGAGAUAGCUGGUUCUCCCCGAAAGCUAUUUAGGUAGCGCCUCGUGAAUUCAUCUCCGGGGGUAGAGCACUGUUUCGGCUAGGGGGCCAUCCCGGCUUACCAACCCGAUGCAAACUGCGAAUACCGGAGAAUGUUAUCACGGGAGACACACGGCGGGUGCUAACGUCCGUCGUGAAGAGGGAAACAACCCAGACCGCCAGCUAAGGUCCCAAAGUCAUGGUUAAGUGGGAAACGAUGUGGGAAGGCCCAGACAGCCAGGAUGUUGGCUUAGAAGCAGCCAUCAUUUAAAGAAAGCGUAAUAGCUCACUGGUCGAGUCGGCCUGCGCGGAAGAUGUAACGGGGCUAAACCAUGCACCGAAGCUGCGGCAGCGACGCUUAUGCGUUGUUGGGUAGGGGAGCGUUCUGUAAGCCUGUGAAGGUGGCCUGUGAGGGUUGCUGGAGGUAUCAGAAGUGCGAAUGCUGACAUAAGUAACGAUAAAGCGGGUGAAAAGCCCGCUCGCCGGAAGACCAAGGGUUCCUGUCCAACGUUAAUCGGGGCAGGGUGAGUCGACCCCUAAGGCGAGGCCGAAAGGCGUAGUCGAUGGGAAACGGGUUAAUAUUCCCGUACUUGGUGUUACUGCGAAGGGGGGACGGAGAAGGCUAUGUUGGCCGGGCGACGGUUGUCCCGGUUUAAGCGUGUAGGUGUGUGUUCCAGGUAAAUCCGGUUCACUUUAACACUGAGGCGUGACGACGAGGCACUACGGUGCUGAAGCAACAAAUGCCCUGCUUCCAGGAAAAGCCUCUAAGCAUCAGGUAACAUCAAAUCGUACCCCAAACCGACACAGGUGGUCAGGUAGAGAAUACCAAGGCGCUUGAGAGAACUCGGGUGAAGGAACUAGGCAAAAUGGUGCCGUAACUUCGGGAGAAGGCACGCUGACACGUAGGUGAAGUGAUUUACUCACGGAGCUGAAGUCAGUCGAAGAUACCAGCUGGCUGCAACUGUUUAUUAAAAACACAGCACUGUGCAAACACGAAAGUGGACGUAUACGGUGUGACGCCUGCCCGGUGCCGGAAGGUUAAUUGAUGGGGUCAGCGCAAGCGAAGCUCCUGAUCGAAGCCCCGGUAAACGGCGGCCGUAACUAUAACGGUCCUAAGGUAGCGAAAUUCCUUGUCGGGUAAGUUCCGACCUGCACGAAUGGCGUAAUGAUGGCCAGGCUGUCUCCACCCGAGACUCAGUGAAAUUGAACUCGCUGUGAAGAUGCAGUGUACCCGCGGCAAGACGGAAAGACCCCGUGAACCUUUACUAUAGCUUGACACUGAACAUUGAGCCUUGAUGUGUAG